CUAGCAUAUCAAUAAGCGGAGGAAAAGAAACCAACAGGGAUUGCCCUAGUAACGGCGAGUGAAGCGGCAACAGCUCAAAUUUGAAAUCUGGCUCUUUUAGAGUCCGAGUUGUAAUUUGCAGAGGGCGCUUUGGCUUUGGCAGCGGUCCAAGUUCCUUGGAACAGGACGUCACAGAGGGUGAGAAUCCCGUACGUGGUCGCUGGCUAUUGCCGUGUAAAGCCCCUUCGACGAGUCGAGUUGUUUGGGAAUGCAGCUCUAAAUGGGAGGUACAUUUCUUCUAAAGCUAAAUAUUGGCCAGAGACCGAUAGCGCACAAGUAGAGUGAUCGAAAGAUGAAAAGCACUUUGGAAAGAGAGUCAAACAGCACGUGAAAUUGUUAAAAGGGAAGCGCUUGCAGCCAGACUUGCUUGCAGUUGCUCAUCCGGGCUUUUGCCCGGUGCACUCUUCUGUAGGCAGGCCAGCAUCAGUUUGGGCGGUAGGAUAAAGGUCUCUGUCACGUACCUCCUUUCGGGGAGGCCUUAUAGGGGAGACGACAUACUACCAGCCUGGACUGAGGUCCGCGCAUCUGCUAGGAUGCUGGCGUAAUGGCUGUAAGCGGCCCGUCUUGAAACACGGACCAAGGAGUCUAACAUCUAUGCGAGUGUUUGGGUGUCAAGCCCGAGCGCGUAAUGAAAGUGAACGGAGGUGGGAACCCGCAAGGGUGCACCAUCGACCGAUCCUGAUGUCUUCGGAAGGAUUUGAGUAAGAGCAUGGCUGUUGGGACCCGAAAGAUGGUGAACUAUGCUUGAAUAGGGUGAAGCCAGAGGAAACUCUGGUGGAGGCUCGCAGCGGUUCUGACGUGCAAAUCGAUCGUCAAAUUUGGGCAUAGGGCGAAAGACUAAUCGAUCUAUCUGUUGCAC
rnacentral:rRNA from 1 species